CUUCUGCUGCUCAUUGUCACAGAGCAGGCACCCGGCAUCAGCAGCACAUUGAUGGAGGCGGACGAGCAGGUACAAUGCCCUGGCCAGUGGCACCCCCUUCUACUGGGUCUGCCACGGUGCCCAGGGCACAUGCCCUGCUCGACCCCCCUUAGUUACGCCUCUGCUUUCGAUAGGUAGUUUUUGUCAGAGAAAGACGUGCAGAAAUGUUCUCAUACUUACAGACAUUUUUGAUGAUAUUUCUCAUUAUUACAGCAGGUCAGGGAGCACCUAUUGUGCAACUGAAGGUAAGUGCCAUCUUCCUACACAUUGCUAAUCUUCUCUAUUCUCUCCGUGGCCUUACAUCAGCCACACAUGUAGGUGUCUCCGCAGACCAUGCCGGUGUCCAGGGGACAGAAGACCCUUAUGUUCCUACAGACACAGGAUUGCUGAUUGCAGCGACAUGUUUCUACUUCUUCUCAUUGGUGGUAAUGCUGGCCUUCUGCAUUUACAUCUGCAACAAACCAAUAAGAUGGCCUCCACCAUGAUGCUGCUAUAUGAUAUCGCCAAUUUCAAACCUAUAAGAUGGCCGCCGCUACGAUAUAAUAGGAAGUAACAUGGAAGGAGGAAACACGUCACCGGAAGUGACGUCAGCUGGACCGCAAAUGAAAGCGGAAGUGCUAUGAUAUGAAACGCAAACGGGGCGACAACUUCCGGUGAACACGAGCGGGAAGCCGGAAAUUAACUACCGCUACACAAGCAUAGACGUUUGGAAGAAACGGACUGGAUUAAUUUCUCUUUUCAUAUAUUUUGUAUAGGACUUUAGUCGGUUAGGAACUCCAUGUCUGGCAUUAGGCUUUAGAUACAAAUCCCUCCCCUAAUUAUCAGGGGUAUAAAUAUUGGUACCGGUAUACUGACCUCCUUAUACCUUGAAAAAGAUACCCUGGGUGGUAUCGAAACGCGUUGGUCAGGAGGAAAGGGGAAUAUCGUUUGUACUCUCUGUGGUGUGGAACAUCUGUCCAGGGACGCCUGUGAUUUACACUUAUGCGAUUUUAGUCUGCCUUGUGUGUAGACCAUCAUUUCUGGUGAGAGUCCACCUUUAUUCCCCUCUGUGCUAUUUCACUGAAUUGUUU